rnacentral:rRNA from 1 species
CAAUAGCGUAUAUUAAAGUUGUUGCAGUUAAAAAGCUCGUAGUUGGACCUUGGACCUGGACAGGCGGUCCGCCUCACGGCGUGUACUGUCUUGCUGGGUCUUUCCUCUUGGUGAUCUGUUGUUUCGGCAGCAGGGAACCAGGACUUUUACUUUGAAAAAAUUAGAGUGUUCAAAGCAGGCUCGAGGCCGGAAUAUAUUAGCAUGGAAUAAUAAAAUAGGACGUGCGGUUCUAUUUUGUUGGUUUUUGGAAUCGCCGUAAUGAUUAAUAGGGACAGUCGGGGGCAUUAGUACUCACAUGCUAGAGGUGAAAUUCUUGGAUUUUGUGAAGACUAACUUCUGCGAAAGCAUUUGCCAAGGAUGUUUUCAUUAA